AUUGAACGCUGGCGGCAGGCCUAACACAUGCAAGUCGAGCGGAGCGGCGUACGGGUGAGUAAUGCCUAGGAAUCUGCCUGGUCGUGGGGGAUAACGACCGGAAACGGGCGCUAAUACCGCAUACUAUCAGAUGAGCCUAGGUCGGAUUAGCUAGUGGGGUGGGUAAAGGGCUACCAAGGCGACGAUCCGUAACUGGUCUGAGAGGAUGAUCAGUCACACUGGAACUGAUACACGGUCCAGACUCCUACGAGAGGCAGCAGUGGGGAAUAUUAGACAAUGGGCGAAAGCCUGAUCCAGCCAUGCCGAGUGUGUGAAGAAGGUCUUCGGAUUGUAAAGCACUUUAAGUUGGGAGGCGUUACCAACAGAAUAAGCACCGGCUAACUUCGUGCCAGCAGCCGCGGUAAUAC
rnacentral:rRNA from 1 species